UUCUAAUAGAAAGGCUUUCACUUUCAUACUCAGAGCUUAAAUCUGAUGCACUUUUCUGCCAUGUUAGAAUUGGGAAAUAAAUACUAGUUCGUUAUAACUAUGCUCAGCGGGGGGAAAAGAAUGCUGUCAUUCGAUUGAAGUUGAUAAGUGUGUUGAGAACAAAGUCGG
rnacentral:tRNA from 1 species